rnacentral:lncRNA from 1 species
CUCAGCCUCAAGGACUUAGCCAAAUUUUCAGCUUUUUCACCGUUUCUUCUCCGUUUUCGCCCGUUUUCGCUCGUUUGACUUCCGAUUCGUCUCAAAUCGAACCGAGACUCUCCAAACAUGUUUCCAAACAUGUUUUCAUCAUCUUUCCAUCCUCGCUAAUGCCGGAUUUAGCUCACGGCCCAACAUGGCCUUUCGGCUCCGUUUUAGCGCCUACGCGCACCGAAACGCCCGAAUGCUUCCCGGCCUCACCGAACUUCACCGGAACCUUUCAAAUGGUUUUCCAACCAAAUGUACACCGUAACUUCAUGAUUUUAGAAGUCCGAUACCUUACA